CUUGGUCAUUUAGAGGAAGUAAAAGUCGUAACAAGGUUUCCGUAGGUGAACCUGCGGAAGGAUCAUUAAAGAAUGCCCCGUUUUUUGAAAUGGGUUCUAUUCCCAAACCGUGUAUACAUACCUUUGUUGCUUUGGCAGGCCGCCUUCGGGCGUCGGCUCACGCUGACCGCGCCUGCCAGAGGACCCAAACUCGUUUGUUUAGUGAUGUCUGAGUACUAUAUAAUAGUUAAGACUUUCAACAACGGAUCUCUUGGUUCUGGCAUCGAUGAAGAACGCAGCGAAAUGCGAUAAGUAAUGUGAAUUGCAGAAUUCAGUGAAUCAUCGAAUCUUUGAACGCACAUUGCGCCCCUUGGUAUUCCGAGGGGCAUGCCUGUUCGAGCGUCAUUAUGACCACUCAAGCCCCCGGCUUGGUGUUGGGGCCCGCGGUUCUGCGGCCCUUAAAACCAGUGGCGGUGCCGUCUGGCUCUAAGCGUAGUAAUUCUCUCGCUAUAGGGUCCAGGUGGUUACUUGUCAGAAUCCCCCACUUUUAUAGGUUGACCUCGGAUCAGGUAGGGAUACCCGCUGAACUUAAGCAUAUCAAUAAGCGGAGGA
rnacentral:rRNA from 1 species